AUUAAAGCUACCUAGUACUAGUUCAUAAACAUAUAGGGAGAUCAAAGAAAUGGGGGAAAAGUCUACAAGUAGACUAAAGAACAUCUAGGAAUUUCAUUUUUUAAUUAGGUUGACAUUUCAAAUCAGUAGAGGAAAAAAUGUAAUAGGGAGAAAAGGGUUGCUGUAUAGC